rnacentral:rRNA from 1 species
AUUGAACGCUGGCGGCAGGCCUAACACAUGCAAGUCGAACGGUAACAGGAAGCACCUUGCUGUUUUGCUUACGAGUGGCGGACGGGUGAGUAAUGUCUGGGAAACUGCCCUAUGGCGGGGGUUAACUACUGGAAACGGUAGCUAAUACCGCAUAACGUCGCAACACCAAAGAUCGGUACCUUAGGGCCUCUUUCCUUUGACUUUUCCCAGAUGGGAUUAGCUAGUAGGUGGGGUAACGGCUCACCUAGGCAACGAGCCCUAGCUGGUCUGAGAGGAUGAGCAGCCACACUGGAACUGAGACACGGUCCAGACUCCUACGGGAGGCAGCAGUGGGGAAUAUUGCACAAUGGGCGCAAGCCUGAUGCAGCCAUGCCGCGUGUAUGAAGAAGGCCUUCGGGUUGUAAAGUACUUUCAGCGGGGAGGAAGGGAGUAAAGUUAAUACCUGUGCUCAUUGACGGUACCCGCAGAAGAAGCACCGGCUAACUCCGUG